rnacentral:misc_RNA from 1 species
GAUGAAGAACGUAGCGAAAUGCGAUAAGUAAUGUGAAUUGCAGAAUUCAGUGAAUCAUCGAAUCUUUGAACGCACAUUGCGCCCGCCAGCAUUCUGGCGGGCAUGCCUGUUCGAGCGUCAUUUCAACCCUCGAGCCCCCCCGGGGGCCUCGGUGUUGGGGGACGGCACACCAGCCGCCCCCGAAAUGCAGUGGCGACCUCGCCGCAGCCUCCCCUGCGUAGUAGCACACACCUCGCACCGGAGCGCGGAGACGGUCACGCCGUAAAACGCCCAACUUCUUAGAGUUGACCUCGGAUCAGGUAGGAAUACCCGCUGAACUUAAGCAUAUCAAUAAGGGAGGA